rnacentral:lncRNA from 1 species
UUCUUACCCAUAUGAUCAUCUUUGGGAUCAAUGCGACCGUGACGUUGAUUUCACCGAGCACUUUAGGAGACUGCUCAGGAAAAGCUACCAAUGAACAAAAUGGAAUUUGAAGCUGAAACACCUGGAAGACUUGGUAUGGACUUGGCCCUGGUCUUGAAGAAGGAGGCCACGCGAGUCUGAGGCAGGCGCCGGCGGGUCAGGGCAGCACCGAGCCACCAGGUCCCCAAGGAACCCAGACACAGCACAGGUGUGGGGGAAUGUGAAGACAGUGGGCCUCAAGGGCUGGCCCCAGAUGACGAGUCUCUGAUGCCGGAAGUCCUAGCAAGUGCAUUUCCUGCAGGACUGAUACUGAGCUUAUCUGUUUUCAUGGUGACCAGGCGUAGUCGAUUCUGCAGACUUAAAGCCAGUCUUCCCACCGUCUCUGACCAGGACCUUCACGACUUAUCUCCCUGCCCAGGCCUGGCCUCCCUGAUCCACCCCUCUUGCCAGCUCCACUUGAACACCUUCAAUGACUUUGUGGUGUCUUGGACACAUCCGGCUGCCUUAGCAGGCACAUGGGACCUCCCGUGGCCUCAGACAUCCCCACUGGUGGCCAGGCCCAUCAUAGUUGGGCUGGACACAGGGGCCUCCCCUCCAUGCUCUGCACACAUCAGAGCCCCCCAGGGCCCCUCAGGGCUCUUGCACUUCUGGCUGGACCACCCUGGCCCCCUCACUGUCAAACUCCUCAUCCCGCCUUUAAACUCACAGCAAAUGUCACUGCAUUUGUGGAGACCCUCCCACACCCUCCCUAGGGGCCCACAGCUCCCUGCCCACACCCCACAACUUCCCCUCAGGUAUAGAAGGCCCAGUGACCAUGAUCUCAACCCUGUGGGAGCCUCAGCACCCGCAUGGGCCGGGUUCACGCUGGGUGACCAAAUGCCGUGUGGUACACAAUUCAUAAAAUGA